UUGCUGCAGGAUGAUGUAAAUGUGUAUAGGAGUAGUCCACCUCUCCCAGAUAUCACUCGUCCUACACACCUUCUUCCAGUGCGCACCUAACAUGAGCUUCUCAACCGAAUGAGGAUCCAGAUGAUGUAGGUGCCAUUAUGGAUUCUGAAUCUGACGAGAACUUCUCCUCUGCAGACUUUGAGGAGGAAGUUAACGAGAGUAAUAAGGACAGGAGCCCCAGCCCUAGGGUCGACUCAGGAGCUAGCCACCCAGGGCGCCGCACACUGCAACACGCAAGGGCAAGGCAUCUACCCCACCUGGGGAUACCAGGUAUGCCUCAUGAUCUCCUUUUUGUGAAAAGAAAUUUUGUCGAGUACUUUGAUUUACAUCGAGUUGCUUUUCCUUCAUCUUCUUUCUCAAUUUCAGCCCAAGGCGCACUAUGCCAAGGACUGAAGCCUCUAGGGAUGAUGUUGGGCAGAUAAAAUUGUAUGCUGUCCCAGCGGACCCUUCAAAUGAUACAGGGGUCACUCUGUCGGAACGCACAGCACUGGCGAGGGGUUUGCAGGAAGUUCCCCUGCCAGAACCUCGGACGGCGGGUGGUGAAGGCACUCCUCCCGCCCAACAAAACAUUUCUGUAUGGGGAGAGGAAGAUAUAAGCCCCCAGUAGGGGCUAUCAAUGCCUUCUGCUAGAAUAUCACUAACGUCGAGUGCUUUGGUGACCAUCCUGAUCCCAAAGUUGCUCCGGGGAAAGAAACUCCUAAUAAGGUGGUCAAAUCGCAAAGGAGCCGACUUGGGACUGGGGGAGACUAACCAAGAUAUCUCGACCCCAGGCCCCAAGCCUGUUUCUGCCACCUACGUGGUGCCGCCACCCCAGCCCCAAUCAGAAGGUAGCCCGAGACCUCCACCUGCUGCUACGAAGGAAACUCCUGCUCAGAGCGUGGCGGAGGCUCAGGCUAGAGGAGCGAGGAUGCGGCUGGUGGUGAUGGUAGUGGCUUAUUUCUUCUUGGAGCUCUAGAAAUUCCUUCAGGUCCAGCAUCCCAGUAACAAGUGUCUGCGGAGCAAAACAUCACGGAUGUUGGCACCGAAGAAGCAGAGGCACUUUAGCCGGCGACAAAGGAAUCUGCCACUCUUGAACCUGCACAAAAUCCACGGCUGCCGAAAGAAAAGA